UAAUUGUUGUCACAAAUGUGAAACUAGUAGAAGGUAAAAAUUGGAAUUCACUCUUUUUGGAAAAAGGGAAGAAUGGAAAAGAGGGGCUAUAAGCCUCGAAGUCACAAAAACCAGUCAACAACUGCACAAUCCACAGCCAGCGAUUCCAAUCAUAAACAUGGAUUUUCUAAGGGCCAGCGUGAGGUGGAAACCACUCCCACCCCGUGUUUAAGGGAACAAACAGCACACAAGGAAGGGGCCCGUGGGAGAACCGGUAGCAGCAGAAAGGGAGCUGUAGGCCAUCAUGACACCAGACCAAAGGCUCGUGUCCCCCUCCAACUCAACUGGAUCCAAACAUUAGAGCCAAAAAACACAUGACAUGACGCUUCAAAAAAGAAGGAAAAACCGGGAGACAAGGAGCAUGACUCACUCGAGUGGACUGGAAUAUGUUAAGAUGCGCCGAAAGGUUGACCGGUGGAAUUAGAUACAGCUUUAGCUUCACUAAUUUUUUGUUAUCAGCAGCUCUCCACAUGUUGAGGUUUUAUCCGCUGAAGAAAAAAGUCUGAAGUUUCUGCGGAAUCACUCGUAUACAUGUUAUUUAUAGGAAAAAGUGGAAAGAAACUCUUCUCUCCGUUCUUCGUAAGUCGGUUCAAUCCAUGUCUUCAGCAAUGACUUCAGGACCUGAAAUCUUUCGCGUAACGCAUCAUUUCAUGAGAAUAAACCUAAGGGUUAAUUAGAUGAUGCAACCAAUGCGACAGAAAGAAAACUUAGAACCAUAAAGUCAUGCACCCAAUGUGACAGAAAGAUUAUGAUUUCCGUAUAGAAGGUUUCAGGUUUCCUGCCCCGUUGCAGUACAGUGUACGCUUAAAACAAUUCAGUCAUUCAUGAAUGAUAUAAUUCAACUUGACGCCAAAAAAAAGAAGAGAAUGAUGCAAUUCAACUAUGAUUGGGCCAUCUGACCAGAUCUCCAACUUUAAUUUUCUUGACACUUCUAAAAUGAUAAAGAGAGGAAACAAUGACCCCCAAAAAAUGUCCCUAUGAUGUGCUCCCUGCAUUAAAAUUAUUAGGAGGCUCACAGGAAAAUUGUGCUGUCUAGUCACACCCUUUCUUGCUAAUCUUGAGGUGGCCACCGCCAUCAUGGUCUGUAGUGCUCACUUGCACCUCCCCAUGGCUUAUAAUAGGCUAUAAGUGUAUUGUAGAUUGUGCUUGAGCUUGAGCUGAGUUAAAGACUGUUUUCAUUGGUCUUAGUACCUAAAGGGCUUGGGCUGAGAGUAAUGGGUAAUGAGAUGGGCAACAACAACGUUAUCGGUCAACAAGGUAUGCAUGUUGCUAAAUACUAUCUGCUUUCUAGGAAUGAGCAUGAAUAUUUUGCUAACCAUCUUCUUAUGUAAUUCUAGUACCAGAGGAGAGUGCUAAGGAUUUCGACAAAACCAUGGCCAACGCAGAUUAUUCACAUGAGCUCAAUAACAUAAAUGGUGAGAAAGGUACUGCCUCUGUUUCACAAUAUUUGUCCUGCACGAACACCUAGGAGGCACAAAUUCAACGAAUAUUUGAUGGAAUCAUGUCAAACUUGCUCUUACUAGAAACUCACCACUACAAAGCUAUGAUCGCUGAUUCAUUGUUCUGUUUAUGUUAGAUACGGAAAAGGAUGGCACUAAGGAUGUAGAUAUGUCGGAGGUAUUAAAGGUCCCUCUCAUCUCUAGUGGUGGAGAUAAGCAAAUGGCUUCAGAUCAAACAAAAUUGUCCGCUGCGAAUGAAGACUUAGAUGAGAAGAAUAGGGGCUCACCUCAGGAUCACACAUCAACAGAAGAUGAUGAUGGGAAUAAAAACUUACCUACAGAACAAGGUUAGUUCAGCCGACUGAUAUUGUACAUACUAUAAUUUUAUUUUUGUAUUGUAAAGCGUAUUAUGCGAAUGGUUUAAUACGAAAAGUUUGGAAAUGGUGAUUUCCAUAUGAGGUAGUAAGAAAAUUCUAGAGAUUUAAUAGGCAUUUUUUUUAUACAAGUUAACUUCUAGUUAGAAUUCAGUGCAAUGUAAUCUGGAGUUCAAUAACCACUCUAAUGCUAUUAUGUUUAUGUUAGAUAAGGAGAAGGAUGGCACUAAGGAUGUCGAUAUGUCAGAGGUGUUAAAGGCCCCUGCCAUUUUUAAUGGUGGAGAUGAUCAAAUGGCUUCAGAUCAAAGAAAAAUCUCUGCUGCAAAUGAAGACUUAGAUGAGAAGAACAGGGGCGCACUUGAGGAUCAUACAUCAACACAAGAUGAUGAUGGAAACAGUAACUUACCUACAGAACAAGGUUAGUUCAGCUGGCUGAUACGGUCCGUACCUAGUUUGUUUUGCUGUCUUUCGUACAAUAGUCCCAUUUUUGUGCUUUAAGCUUCUAUGCACUGGGUCUGUCCUUUAAUAAGCCAUUUAAAACUGGUUUAGUAUGAGAAAUACGCGUGCUUGAGAAAAUUAAUGGUGAUUUCAGGAUGAGAUAGUAAGAAAAAUCUAUGGUUCAAAAGAAUGCUAGUGCUACCUAGCCGUCCACCUAAUGUUUUUUUCGAAAAGAGGGGAAAAUCCUCUGGCUCUGCAUCGAGUGAUGCAUGGCUACCCACCUAAUAAGAAGUACAUUAUGUUUCUAUGAAUAACUAUACUUGAAUUUCAGAAUGUAUAAUUGUCCACUAAAAACAUAGGCAGUUAAGCAUUUAUAGCUUUUACCUUCAGCACUAUAAGCUCGACUAAUAAAAGCAAGUCAUCUGGCACAGGUGAUGAAGCACAGGAGGACAGUGGAACUGAAACAGCCACAAAUUCUGCAGAAACAGUUGCCCGUUUCGACACCACAACUGAAGCUAUAACAAGCAACAAGGAUACUUCAUCAUCUGAUGAGCAAUUCACACAACUUGAACACGAAACUACAGAGAAAAGUGAAGAAAAUACCACGGCAAAUCCCGCCAUGUUGUUAGAGGAAAACAUUGAAGAUCUGCCAGAAGACAAGGAGGAAUCUUGUAGUCAAGAAGUUGCAGUGGUGGGUGAUAAUCUAGUUGGAGAACAUACAGUUGAAAACCUAGAAGGACAAACUGGACCAUCAACAGUGGAGGGUGAUAAUCUAGUUGGAGAGACUACAACAUCAACUGAAUCAAUUAUCAGUGGUUAUGUUGAUGACGAGACUAAGGAGGUUGUCGUCGAAGAUGAACCUAGAAAAAGAGAAAAUUCGUCAUAUGUAAGACCAGAAGGCGACACCAACCAAGAAACAUUCAAGAAUGAAGAGAAGCAAGAAAUCUGUGAGAUAGGCAAAAUCAAUACAUGCAAAACUAUAACAGAAGAUACUGUGGUUAAAAGCCCUGAAGUGCUAGAAGAAGAUGAGAAGAUCCAAGGAUUGGAAAAUCAGGAGGAAGAAUUUCCCAAAUCUAGUGCAUAUGAUGCUCCUGACAUUGUUGAAGCUGUUUCCCAAUUUCAGUUAGCUUUAGCAGAUCCAAGUGCAACAAAUGGCAAAGAAUUUCAGAAACAUGAACUGAGUAUAGCAGAACAGAUGUCAGAUUCUGUAAGUGCAGCAAUGGAGCACAAUGUAAUUGAAACAGCAGAGAAAGAGCAAGGGGGAAUUGUUGAAAAAGAUGUUGCAGACAAGAAUGAAGAAGAUAAUUUUGAAGGGGAUAAGAAAUCUGAUGGUAUGUCAGAGGUUUUAAAGGACCCUGUCAUUUCUAAUGGUGGAAAUGAUCAAAUGGCUUCAGAUCAUACAAAAAUCUCUGCUGCAAGUGAAGACUUAGAUGAGAAGAACAGGGACUCACUUCAGGAUCAUACAUCAACACAAGAUGAUGAUGGGAAUAGUAACCUACUUACAGAACAAGGUUAGUUCAGCUGGUUGAUAUGGUUCAUACCUAGCUUGUUUGGCUGUCUUCGUACUAUGUUUUAUUUCUGUGCUUUGAUAAGCCAUUUAAGAAAAUAGUUAAUAUGAGAAGAAUGUGUGUUUGUGAUAAUAAAUGGUGAUUUCAGUGUGAUAGUAAGACAGGGAUUCAAAAGUAAAAAUUUGCUAGAUGCUAGUGCUACCUAGCUACCCACCUAAUAAAGGUGCGUUAUGCUUCUAUGAACAACUAUACUUGAACUUCAGAAUAUAUGAUGGGCCACUAAAACCAUAGGUACUUAAGCAUUGCUUUCCUUCAGCACUAUAGACUCUCCUAAUAAAAGCAAGUGAUCUGGCACAGGUGAUGAAUCACAAGACAGUGGAACUGAAACAACCACAGAUGGUACAGAAAAAGUUGCCCCUGUCGGCACCACAACUGAAGACAUGACAAGUAACAAUGAUACAUCAUCAUCUGAUGAGCAAUUUAAAGAAGUUGUACACGAAAUAACAGAGACAAGUAAAGAAAGUACCAUACAGAAUCCCCUCACAUUGUUAGAGGGAAUUAUUGGAAGUGCGCCACAAGAUGGGGAGGAGUCUUGCAGUCAAGAAGUUGCAGUGGUGGAUGAUAAUCUAGUUGGAGAAGAUACAGUUGAAAGCCUAGAAGAAAGACAAGCUGGAGUGUCGGUAGUAGAGGAUCUAUCGACACCAUCGUCGGUACAAGGAGAGACUACAUCAUCAACUGAAUCAAUUAUCACUGAUCAUCUUGAUGAUGAGACCAAGGAGGUUGUCCUCGAAGAUGAGCCUAGAGAAAGAGGCCAUUCAUCACAUGUACGACCAGAAGAUGACACCAACCAAGAAACAUCCAAGAAUGAAGAGAAGCAAGAAAUCUGUGAAAUGGGCAACAACAAUACCUGCAAAACCACAACAGUAGAUACUGUGGUUAAAAGUGAAGAAGUGCUAGAAGAAGAUGAGAAGAUCCAAGGAUUGGAAAAUCAGGAGGAAGAAUUUGCCAAAUGUAGUGCAUAUGAUGCUCCGGACAUUGUUGAAGCUGUUUCCCAAUUUCAGUCAGCUUUAGCAGAUCCAAGUGCAACAAAUGGCAAAGAAUUUCAGAAACAUGAACUGAGUAUAGCAGAACAGAUGUCAGAUUCUGUAAGUGCAGCAGUGGAGCACAGUGUAAUUGAAACAGCAGAGAAAGAGCAGGGGGGAAUUGUUGACAAAGAUGAUGCAGACAAGAAUGAAGCAGCUAAUUUUCAAGGGGAUAAGAAUUCUGAUGGUAUACAUGACUCCGUCGGUCUUGUUAUGGUCCAUGGAGAAGAUUUUACAGGUUUAGGCCCGCCAUUAUCUGGCCCUCUUUCUAUUUUGAAUGAAGAAAAGGUACAUGAAGAAGUCGUCAUAGAAGAAUUAGCCGCACCAAUGACUGCAAAAUCAUUUGCUCUUAAACCAGUAGAAGAUUUUGUGAAGGAAGAUAUUAAACCUGAUAGCUCAGAUAGUAAUGAAGGAACCACCACCUCCACAUAUGAAGCAAAGACUAUAGAUACACAAGAAACUAUGAACAUCUCACAAUGUGAUCAGCCUCAACAGGUACUGCUUGAAGAACCUGAAGUUGUCAAAUUUGAAAACAGUGAGACUCUGAGCACUUGCAUCCAGCUGGUGGAAUACAGUUCAGCGACAGAAUUAAUCUUCCCUGAUGUAUUCAACAAGGAGAGAGAAGGCACAUCUGAUAAAGCCACAUGUUGUACUUCUGAAUCCAAUCAGGAGAAAGUCACAGGGACUGUAGGCUUUGCUGCUGAAUCGAAACAAAAGAAAGUUAUUGCAAAUGCUGAUAAUUCUAGUGAGGAACAGUGUUUGCUUCAGAAACCAACUCUAGGGACAGAUGUGGGUGAAGAGAUUCCGUUACUUCUGAGUACAGAAAGCAUCAACUCUUUAAGUUAUUCUAGUGAACAGCACAGCAAAUUAGUCAAGGACAUCCCCAUGACCAACAUCACUCUGAUGCAAGCCAAAGAUGAAGCCGUGGAAGAAUCUGAGAAGAGUCCACUGCUGAGCCCUAGGGAGCCAUCAGAAGGAGCCUUCAGAGCGCCAAAUCACUCGGGAAGAAACAAUAAACCACUUCGUAGCUUAAUGACGGAGGACGGUGUUGGAACGUGGUCGCUGUUGAAGGAACAAGAACCGGUUCGGAAGAACAACACCACGGUUAGUUCUCCUAGAAGCAAAGAAAAGCAGAAGCCAAAGUCAUCCCUUUUUGCCAUUUGCAUGUGUUGCACCACAGCUACGAACUGAUUUAUGGCUUCAUUUGUUGUUUUCCUUAAUGCCUGGUUGAUUUUCUUUUUGUUCAAGGUUUGAUGCUCGAGUUUACUUAGUGAAGAAUGUUUUGCAGUUGCUGGAAAUAUUUUAGAUACCACAACUUGUAUUGAUCAGAAGUUGUAUGUUACUCUUUUUUUCCAUCACUGUAUCUGGUUUGGAGAAUGAAUGCCUUCAAUAAUACAAGUGUCUGUAAAGGGUUGUCGAGUUAAAAACAUCCUUUGUGUACGAUACGAUAUAUAGCAUUCCGACAUUAAAUAUCUCCACUGCCGUUGUUCUAUGCCGACAAAUGUCCAUAAAAUGCGAGCAUGACAUGCCAAAAACUUCCAAUUAUCUUAAGCAAUUUGAGUUAAUCAAAUUUUCGCAUAAUCAUAUUAAACUGGUAUAUUUUAGUACGUUCUCUUAAAAAGGACAGAAACAAACAGAACAAGCCCUUUCAAAAGGAUUACUGAAUUAAAUUUCCAACAUGAGAAGCAAACGCCAACAUCACUGUAGUUGGCACAAUGAUAAAGUUAGCCACUGAAAGUAGUUUCGCAAGACCAUCUUAUUCAAAAGCAUUUCCACUAAAGUGGAACAUGGGAAUCCCAAAAACAUGUUGUUUAUGCUCACCAAAGAGUCCUACCCUAAAUGCCAAUGCAGAUAUUAUGUAACUUAUUAUUGACAAUUCUGCUUCAGACUAUUAUUAAUGCUCGAAUUCACACAUUGAACAACUUCAGGAUUCAUAUUUAAGCUAGAGAAAGAAAAUCAGUAAUGCUCACGGUAUGAUGUGACAGAGGUCGGAGUACUGGAGAAGAUGCAAACAAUGAUCAAUUAUAUGAUAUCUGUCAGUAAUACACAUUCAGGUAUACAUAGACUUGUUGCCAAACAGUGCAAAUAUCAGACGAACAAUAUUUACUGAUUAGAGCAAUUCCAGAUUUCUAACUAGUAAAAUCACAGUAAGUUUUGCCGAAAAUAAUCGCAGACAUACCACGCACCCCAUUUCCCCAACCGAAGACAAGCCAUUGAUGGUUAACUUACCUCUGCCAGUGAAAAGAAAGUGUUGGUGGCAUAUGAAGCCUGCAAGAAGUUAGAUCCAUUCGGGUUAACUCGAGCAGAGAAAGAUUGCGGGUUAACUCGAGCAGACUGCCCCCUCCCCCGAGUCGCCGUCGUCGACCCAUCCAGGCCGGGCAGGCCACUUCCUUCUCUGCCCCAGCCCCCAGCCACGGUGGGCACGGUGUCAUCAAUACUCGUCCUCCUCACUGCUCCUCCCGUUGACCGACGCCACCAGUGC
rnacentral:lncRNA from 1 species